UGGGGAAUUUUGGACAAUGGGCGCAAGCCUGAUCCAGCAAUGCCGCGUGCAGGAUGAAGGCCUUCGGGUUGUAAACUGCUUUUGUACGGAGCGAAAAGGUCUGCCCUAAUACGGUGGGCUCAUGACGGUACCGUAAGAAUAAGCACCGGCUAACUACGUGCCAGCAGCCGCGGUAAUACGUAGGGUGCGAGCGUUAAUCGGAAUUACUGGGCGUAAAGCGUGCGCAGGCGGUCUUGUAAGACAGUCGUGAAAGCCCCGGGCUCAACCUGGGAACUGCAUUUGAAACUGGCAGGCUUGAGUCUUGUAGAGGGGGGUAGAAUUCCACGUGUAGCAGUGAAAUGCGUAGAUAUGUGGAGGAACACCGAUGGCGAAGGCAGCCCCUUGGGUCAAGAUUGACGCUCAUGCACGAAAGCGUGGGGAGCAAAC
rnacentral:rRNA from 1 species